rnacentral:rRNA from 1 species
CCUACGGGGGGCAGCAGUGGGGAAUAUUGGGCAAUGGACGCAAGUCUGACCCAGCAACGCCGCGUGAAGGAAGAAGGCUUUCGGGUUGUAAACUUCUUUUGUCAGGGAACAGUAGAAGAGGGUACCUGACGAAUAAGCCACGGCUAACUACGUGCCAGCAGCCGCGGUAAUACGUAGGUGGCAAGCGUUGUCCGGAUUUACUGGGUGUAAAGGGCGUGCAGCCGGGCUGGCAAGUCAGGCGUGAAAUCCCAGGGCUCAACCCUGGAACUGCGUUUGAAACUGCUGGUCUUGAGUACCGGAGAGGUCAUCGGAAUUCCUUGUGUAGCGGUGAAAUGCGUAGAUAUAAGGAAGAACACCAGUGGCGAAGGCGGAUGACUGGACGGCAACUGACGGUGAGGCGCGAAAGCGUGGGGAGCAAACAGGA